AGGAAGAGCCAGGGUUCUGCGAACAUACGCGGAUUGUGUAGCCUUUAUAUAUAUAUGGUUUCGCGUGGCAUUAUAUUGGUGUUACGUACGUAGUAUACCAGGACCAGUCAAGCUGCAAGACUUUGUCGGCCAGUCAAAAGUGGACGCUGCAAUCCAAGGUGAAACUUUCUUUCUCAUGGUGGGGCACACGCAUGAAGAUUUGGAUCAACUGUUAAGUGUUUAGUGCAAGGGAACUUAGACAGAAGCCUGCAACAACCCGCGAUGCCCUCCUUCAAGAUUGGGGACAUCCGGACACCCACCACCAAGCUAUCAGACUUCAAGCCCUUCAUGCCUGCCCCAAGGGAAGCGACAACCUUCCCAACUAAAGUUCAAGAGGCAAUAGAGAAGAACAAUGAAAAACUGCAAAAACAAUCAAAGAUCACUCUGACAAAGCACCGAAGACAAGCGUCAGUAUCAGAACAAUAAAGAAG
rnacentral:lncRNA from 1 species